GAUGAAGAACGCAGCAAAAUGCGAUAAGUGAUGUGAAUUGCAGAAUUCAGUGAAUCAUCGAAUCUUUGAACGCACAUUGCGCCCGCCAGUAUUCUGGCGGGCAUGCCUGUUCGAGCGUCAUUUCAACCCUCAAGCCCUCGGGUUUGGUGUUGGGGAUCGGCGAGCCUUUCUGGCAAGCCGGCCCCGAAAUCUAGUGGCGGUCUCGCUGCAGCCUCCAUUGCGUAGUAGUAAAACCCUCGCAACUGGAACGCGGCGCGGCCAAGCCGUUAAACCCCCAACUUCUGAAUGUUGACCUCGGAUCAGGUAGGAAUACCCGCUGAACUUAAGCAUAUCAAUAAGCGGAGGA
rnacentral:misc_RNA from 1 species